rnacentral:rRNA from 1 species
AACGAACGCUGGCGGCGUGCCUAAUACAUGCAAGUCGAGCGCAGGAAACUGACGGAACUCUUCGGAGGGAAGGCAGUGGAAUGAGCGGCGGACGGGUGAGUAACACGUAAGGAACCUGCCUCAUGGAUUGGGAUAACUCCGAGAAAUCGGAGCUAAUACCGGAUAGUUCAACGGACCGCAUGGUCCGCUGAUGAAAGGCGCUUCGGCGUCACCUUGAGAUGGCCUUGCGGUGCAUUAGCUAGUUGGUGGGGUAACGGCCCACCUAGGCGACGAUGCAUAGCCGACCUGAGAGGGUGAUCGGCCACACCGGGACUGAGACACGGCCCAGACUCCUACGGGAGGCAGCAGUAGGGAAUCUUCCACAAUGGACGAAAGUCUGAUGGAGCAACGCCGCGUGAGUGAUGAAGGUUUUCGGAUCGUAAAACUCUGUCGUAAGGGAAGAACACGUACGAGAGGAAAUGCUCGUACCUUGACGGUACCUUACGAGAAAGCCACGGCUAACUACGUGCCAGCCGCCGCAGUAAGAC